AUUGAACGCUGGCGGCAGGCCUAACACAUGCAAGUCGAACGAGUCGCGGACGGGUGCGUCAUGUCUGUGAACCUGCCUGUUGGAGGGGGCUACCUUCUGGAAACGGUAGCUAAUACCGCAUACCAUCACAUUUGCCCCGAUGGGCUUAGCUAGUUGGUGGGGUAACGGUUAACCAAGGCCACGAUCCCUAGCGGGUCUGCGAGGAUGACAGGCAAAACUGGAACGGGGAAACGGUCCAGACUCCUACGGAAGGCAGCAGUGGGGAAGAUUGGACAAUGAGCGAAAGCUGGAUGCAGCAAGGCCGGGGGUAUGAAGAAGGCCUUCGGGUUGUAAAGUACGUUCAGCGGGGAGGCGGUAACCACAGAAGAAGCAACGGCUAACUCCGUGCCAGCAGCCGCGGUAAUAC
rnacentral:rRNA from 1 species